UAGGAAUAUUGGACAAUGGGGGAAACCCUGAUCCAGCCAUGCCGCGUGUGUGACGAAGGCCUUAGGGUUGUAAAGCACUUUCGGCUGUGAAGAUAAUGACAGUAGCAGAAGAAGAAGCUCCGGCUAAAUUCGUGCCAGCAGCCGCGGUAAUACGAAUGGAGCGAGCGUUGUUCGGAAUCACUGGGCGUAAAGCGUACGCAGGCGGUCUUGAAAGUCAGGAGUGAAAUCCCAGGGCUCAACCCUGGAAUUGCUUUUGAAACUCCAAGACUAGAGUACUGGAGAGGUUGGCGGAAUUCCGAGUGUAGCAGUGAAAUGCGUAGAUAUUCGGAGGAACACCGAUGGCGUAGGCAGCCAACUGGACAGUUACUGACGCUCAUGUACGAGAGCGUGGGGAUCAAAC
rnacentral:rRNA from 1 species